UGCGCUGGAAGCUCAGCGGCUGAGCACUCGCCUGAUAAGCGAGAGGCCGGAGGUUCGAAUCCUCCACGGCGCAU
rnacentral:tRNA from 1 species